rnacentral:lncRNA from 1 species
UUGAUUAAAUGGAUGUCUACUGCACCAGAAGAUGCAACUUGGGAGGAUGCACACAAGUUGGCUCAACAAUUUCCUAAAUUCAACUUUGAUUAAUUGAAUUAGGAUAUGUUUCUGUUAUGCUCUAUUGUGUUCCUUCUUGUUAAUUCUUGAGUAUGUUUUCAUUUGCAGUCCUGUAUGAGUAUUUUUUGAUUGAAUGAUCCUUGAGGACAAGGAUCUUCUUAAGGAGGUGGCACUAUUAUGU